UCUUUCUUUAACGUAUACAAUUCUCAUACAUUUAUCAAACCCUUGAAACGAAUUUACAAGGUAUACCUGAAUACAGUAUAUAUGAUUUUACUUGUCUCAUUUUAUAGAUGACACAAAAAACUUUUGGAACUGCAUUAAUGACAAAUCUUGCCCAAUAAACGUUACAAAAUCACAUAGUACAUUGUGUGCAUGUGCAAAUGCAACGUGCGCAAAAAUCAUAUGCAAAGGUAUCUUCAAAACAAGUCAGUUAAAGAUUAAUUGCACAAUUGAAGUACACACAGAAGAAACCCAGGAAUGUUUAAAUUACCUUGUGGUCAACAAACUAAAUGACGAACAUAUGAAUAGACAGUCAUGUUCAACAUUCAAAAUUGACGAAGGAAAUUGUUUCUUUGACGAGGUCAAAAUGCAAAUUACAGAAAUUUCUGCUUCUGUAACGAACCCUAUGCCUGCCGUGCAGAGAAACUUAUCAAUACAUCUCUGUGAUUCUGGAAUUUUUACCUGCCCUUUGAGACGUAAUGAACAAGUCACGACCCAUAUGAACGACUCCGAAUUUUCAAUAAACACAAACAAUUGGAU